GACGAACCGUGCGAACGUUGUUCGGAAUCACUGGGCUUAAAGGGCGCGUAGGUGGUUUGCCAAGUCGGGGUUGAAAUCUUUCGGCUUAACCGGAAAAGUGGCUUCGAUACUGGCAAGCUGGAGGGAGGUAGGGGCGGAUGGAACUUCCGGUGGAGCGGUGAAAUGUGUUGAUAUCGGAAGGAACGCCGGUGGCGAAAGCGAUCCGCUGGACCUCUUCUGACACUGAAGCGCGAAAGCCAGGGGAGCAAACGGG
rnacentral:rRNA from 1 species